rnacentral:rRNA from 1 species
GAUGAACGCUAGCGGCAGGCCUAAUACAUGCAAGUCGAACGGUAGAUCGGGUAGCAAUACUUGAUUGAGAGUGACGUAAGGGUGCGUAACACGUAUGCAAUCUACCCUCAACAGGAGUAUAGCUCGGGGAAACUCGGAUUAACACUCCAUAACAUUACGAUGUGGCAUCACAUUGUGAUUAAAACUCCGGUGGUUGAGGAUGAGCAUGCGUCUGAUUAGUUAGUUGGAGGUGUAACGGGCCCCCAAGACGAUGAUCAGUAGGGGAACUGAGAGGUUGAUCCCCCACACUGGCACUGAGAUACGGGCCAGACGUCCUACGGGAGGCAGCAGUAGGGAAUAUUGGUCAAUGGGUGAGAGCCUGAACCAGCCAUGCCGCGUGACAGGAAGACGGCCUUCUGGGUUGUAAACUGCUUUUAUCUGGGGAUAAAAAGCCCAUGCGUGGGACAUUGAAGGUACCAGAUGAAUAAGCACCGGCUAACUACGUG